rnacentral:rRNA from 1 species
UACGUAGGGGGCAAGCGUUGUCCGGAUUUAUUGGGCGUAAAGAGCGUGUAGGCGGCCAGGCAGGUCCGUUGUGAAAACUCGAGGCUCAACCUCGAGAUGUCGAUGGAAACCGUCUGGCUAGAGUCCGGAAGAGGAGAGUGGAAAUUCCCGGUGUAGCGGUGAAAUGCGCAGAUAUCGGGAAGAACACCCGUGGCGAAGGCGGCUCUCUGGGACGGUACUGACGCUGAGACGCGAAAGCGUGGGGAGCGAACGAGGA